rnacentral:rRNA from 1 species
ACUCAAAGGAAUAGACGGGGACCCGCACAAGCGGUGGAUGAUGUGGAUUAAUUCGAUGCAACGCGAAAAACCUUACCUACACUUGACAUGUCAGGAACCUCGAUGAAAGUUGAGGGUGCUCGAAAGAGAGCCUGAACACAGGUGCUGCAUGGCUGUCGUCAGCUCGUGUCGUGAGAUGUUGGGUUAAGUCCCGCAACGAGCGCAACCCUUAUCAUUAGUUGCUACGCAAGGGCACUCUAAUGAGACUGCCGGUGACAAACCGGAGGAAGGUGGGGAUGACGUCAAGUCCUCAUGGCCCUUAUGUGUAGGGCUUCACACGUCAUACAAUGGUCGGUACAGAGGGUCGCCAACCCGCGAGGGGGAGCCAAUCCCUUAAAACCGAUCGUAGUCCGGAUUGCAGUCUGCAACUCGACUGCAUGAAGUCGGAAUCGCUAGUAAUCGCGGAUCAGAAUGUCGCGGUGAAUACGUUCCCGGGUCUUGCACACACCGCCCGU